rnacentral:lncRNA from 1 species
UUACAUGGAGAUUCUAUGGUAGCCUUUCUUUUUAUUUCAAUCAAUAUGUACAAGCGCAAAUGCAGUUACAAGAUUAUAGAAAGAAAACAAUGAAGAGAGAAGAAAAGAUUCUAAGGAAGUAUGCUUACAACUGAAUGCAAGGCCACAAUAUAUUAUAGGCUAUCAGCAACUAUACAAUCCUAAAUUAUUGAAGAGAGACGUAAGCCAUGAUAUCAGACUUCAAUAAUAGAGGAGACAAAGCUUUAAGCUUUACAAUCAUAGUGCAUCCUAGUGCAUUUGUACAAACCCAUCAAUAGGCAGAUUGUCUCGCAUUGAAUUACAAUAAAGAACAUUGGAUUAAACUGAACAGCUAAGCACAAUUAGACUUGUAACAUGGAAGAUACUCAGAACUGGGAAUCAUAUUGGGUUGUUUUGACAUUCCCUGAUUGUGUUGAUUUCUUUUUAGAGUCGCGUAGUUGAGUUCAUAUGGUUCCGUUGUUACUACUUGAUGAAUCAAGAGCAGUUUAGCAAUAUCUGUGAUGCUGAAUGCUGACAAACUAAGUCUUACUUGGAGAUUCUAUGGUAGCCUUUCUUUUUAUUUCAAUCAAUAUGUGCAAGCGCAAGUGCAGCAACAAGAUUAUAGAAAGAAAACAAUGAAGAGAGAAAAGAAAAGAUUCUAAGGGAGCCUGCUUACAACUGAACGCAAGGCCACAAUAUAUAAUAGGCUAUCAGCAACUAUACAAUCCUAAAUUAUUGAAGUGAGACGUAAGCCAUGAUAACUUUUAGUCUUUGUCAGAAGGAGUGCCUGUGACUUUAUUCUUACCUUUUGCUUUUUGCUUUUUAGCUUUAUCUUUAUCUUUAAGACAGAUCGACAUGUGCAUGUAUUUCGG